rnacentral:rRNA from 1 species
UACAGAGGUCUCAAGCGUUGUUCGGAUUCAUUGGGCGUAAAGGGUGCGCAGGCGGUUAUGUAAGACAGAUGUGAAAUCCCCGGGCUCAACCUGGGAACUGCAUUUGUGACUGCAUAGCUAGAGUACGGUAGAGGGGGAUGGAAUUCCGCGUGUAGCAGUGAAAUGCGUAGAUAUGCGGAGGAACACCGAUGGCGAAGGCAAUCCCCUGGACCUGUACUGACGCUCAUGCACGAAAGCGUGGGGAGCAAACAGG